CACGCUGUAAACUAUGGAUGCUAGGUGUUUGGUAUGACUACUUUCUAUCUUCGGAUUCUAGGUGGAAGUACUGAGUGCCGCAGCUAACGCGUUAAGCAUCCCGCCUGGGAAGUACGGCCG
rnacentral:rRNA from 1 species